GUCUUUGUGGUGUAGUUGGUUAUCACGUGGGUCUCAUAUAUAACAAUAUGACUAGGAAGGUCUUAACUUCCUGGAUAUCCCAAGGCCGGGAGUUCGAGCCUCCCCGAGGACA